GGACGGGUAUAGGCGGGCCAAGCGGUCUUGAAAACCGUAGUCUUUAAUCUGGCUUGGGGGUUCAACUCCCUCUCCUUCCGCCA
rnacentral:tRNA from 1 species